UAGGGAAUAUUGCUCAAUGGGCGCAAGCCUGAAGCAGCAACGUCGCGUGGAGGAUGAAGGUUUUAGGAUUGUAAACUCCUUUUGUCAGAGAAGAUCAUGACGGUAUCUGACGAAUAAGCACCGGCUACUCCGUGCCAGCAGCCGCGGUAAUACGGAGGGUGCAAGCGUUACUCGGAAUCACUGGGCGUAAAGAGUGCGUAGGCGGGGUUGUAAGUCAGGUGUGAAAUCCUAUGGCUUAACCAUAGAACUGCAUUUGAAACUGCCACCCUAGAGUGUGGGAGAGGUAGGUGGAAUUCUUGGUGUAGGGGUAAAAUCCGUAGAUAUCAAGAGGAAUACUCAUUGCGAAGGCGACCUGCUGGAACAAUACUGACGCUGAUUGCACGAAAGCGUGGGGAGCAAACAG
rnacentral:rRNA from 1 species